UCAACGAACUAAACUCGAGCUUGGUCGCUUGGCCAUGCACUGUCCCUGCGCCGCAGUUGACUCCGUUUGUCUCGCGGUCUCGCCCCCGUCUCGCUCUCCGACGACUGGUGUGCCGCCGCCGUCCUGUGCCAGGUGCUAAGGCCUUCGUCAGUAUCUUCGCCGGCGACGAGCACCCACCAGCUCCUUGAUUUCUAGAAAGAAAGGAGGGGUUGUUUUCCUACAUCUUGAUCAUUUGGAGAUUUUUCUGUCAUUCUAAUGGAGGUAAAGGAAGUAUGUGUCCAAGAUAUGUUGGUUGACCUGGAGAAAGGCAAGUGCUUGCUACCCAUAGAGGACAAUAGUGGGAUGAAGGUUAAUUCAAUAGCUGGGCAUGCAAGUACAAUGCGGCCCAGCUCAUGGGAUGAUCUUGUAGCACUGAAGGAUGAUAAGAGUCACCACAUAUGUUGUUUCUCUUCACACCGUCAAGAUUCAUCUGUUAAAAGUGGAGAGCCUAUGAAAGCUGAAGGGGAGAUCAAGGUUGGGAUUUUGGAUAAGUCAACUGCUGAUAAGGAAAAUAAAAAAUGGUAUAAGAAGCCGCCACGACCUCCAAGAUCACAGACUACUUCACCAUUAGACCCUGCUGAUCAGAAGCUCAUCAGUGCACUAUCGGAGCUUGCGGUGUUAAAGAAGGCUAGGAUUGAGCGUAUGAAGGCAUUGAAGAAGAUGAAGAAUUCCAAACCAGCAUCUUCCAUUGGGAACUUGGUGGCUUUGAUCAUUACCGUCAUCUUAUGUUUCUUCAUACUUUGGCAAGGCUUGCUGAUGAAAUAAAACACUGGUUUUUCUCAAGGCACGGGGUGAGCAUAAGCUUCCAUAGGCCAUCUAUAUCAUCAGUCAGAAUGCAUGGUGGUCUUAUCUCCAUCCAGUUCUACAUUAAGAAUGUCACAACUGUUAGCCCCCACAGUUCCUCUGCAGCUCAAUAAUACUGGAGUGGCUACGAUGAUGGAAAUCCAUGGUGAGAUCAGGAGUGUCACUGAAUAAUUAGAUUGCUGGGCUUCGUUCGUCAUAGUCGCGUCGUGGCGAGUCCCCUCUGAUUUUGCAUAUGCUCCACGGAAUCACCGUUGUCCGGUUUGCUCCCCAGGCCCUGUACAGUGUAAACUUCUGAAAGUUGAAAUUGCCCUUUGCAGAAUACUGGUGUUGUAAAUUAUCACUGGUUGAUUGGUGAUAUUUUGUAACUGUUUUUUUUAACAAGGGCUGUUAUUUUGUUGAAGCCAUUUAGGAAGAGAAAACUAUUGCUUUUUUAGUGACAUCGUGGAGUUAAUUUGCUUGGAUGAAUUUUAAGAAACUAGUGCAACUGGUUAGGUAUCUGUAUAUUGCUACGGUUUCUAUAAAUCACAUAGGUAGAUCUUAUUUA